AUGAAUAUUCUCAGCAGGUCAUUGCAGAUAAUAAACAUUACAAAACAAACAACUCUAAUUUCGUAUAGCCACUUGCGCAACUCCCGGAGUAUCUUUGAAAUGCAAUUGAAAUUUAGCUAUAUCAGAAAAAAUAACUCAACUCUUGCAGCACAAUCAAUGGGAAGAUAUUUGUCGGAUUUGGAUUCCCUCAUUCAGUUCUCCCUACAUCUCUCCAUCUUGUAG